GUUAGGAAUAUUGGACAAUGGGCGCAAGCCUGAUCCAGCCAUGCCGCGUGAGUGAUGAAGGCCUUCGGGUUGUAAAGCUCUUUAGCCGAUGAUUAUAAUGACUGUAGUCGGAAAAUAAGCCCCGGCUAACUUCGUGCCAGCAGCCGCGGUAAUACGAAGGGGGCGAGCGUUAUUCGAAAUCACUGGGCGUAAAGCGUGCGUAGGCGGCUUUGCAAGUUGGGAGUGAAAGCCCAGGGCUCAACCCUGGAAUUGCUCUCAAAACUGCAAGGCUCGAAUUCGGGAGAGGAUAGCGGAAUUGUCAGUGUAGCAGUGAAAUGCGUAGAUAUUGACAGGAACACCAGUGGCGUAAGCGGCUAUCUGGACCGAUAUUGACGCUGAGGCACGAAAGCGUGGGGAUCAAACAGGAUUAGAAACCCGUGUAGUCC
rnacentral:rRNA from 1 species